GCUCAGUUCGGCUCGGGCGCGGUCGGGGCUGGGUCGGGCUGGUCCGGUUUUCUUCCUUUUUUUUUCUUUUAGCCUUUUCUUUUUCCCUUUUUCUUAUUUCUUUGAUAUGUUUUGAUUCUGAACUCCAAAUUGGUCCAAAUAAAUUUCAGAAAAUUUGUAAAACCAUGUUUUACCAUCAUACAACUUUUGGGAGUAUUUUCCCUUCCAAAUAAAAUACAUAAAAAUAUAUUUGCCUUAUAAAUGCCUUUAGGACUAUAUAACUAUUUAAAUAAAAUAGUUUUUCGACUCCAAAUAAUUAUCCAAAAAUUAUGGGAUAGCUUAUUUAUGCAAUAAACCCUUUUAUAAAUAAACCCUAUUGGUUUGAUGUAACAUCCCAAAAAUUUCAAACCCUUACAUGUGCAUUGCAUCCAUGAGCAUCAUACCACAAGUGCAAAUUUGAAUUCAAUUUUGAAUCUCAAAAGGCUUUAAAAGACUUUGUUUCUAUUUAAACCCUAGGGUUUACACCCAUUUGAGCUUUGGAUAUUGAAAGCAAUAAGGUUUAUUUAUAAAAAGGGUUUACUGCAUAUAUGAGCUAUCCCAUAAUUUUUGGAAAAUUAUUUGGAGUUGAAAAUGUAUUUUAUUUAAAUAGUUGUAUAGCCCUAAAGGCAUAUAUAGGGCAAAUGUAUUUUUUUUUGGUAUUUUAUUUUGAGGGGAAACUACUCCCAAAAGUUCUAUCAUGAUAGAACAUGAUUUUACAAAUUUUCUGAAAUUUAUUUGGACCAAAUUGGAGGUCAAAAUCAAAAGAUAUCAAAGAAAUAAGAAAAACAGAAAAAGAAAAGGGCUAAAAGAAAAAAAAGGAGAAAACCGGACCGGCUCGGCCAAAUGGGCUGAACCGGCCCAGUCCGAUCGCGCCCGACCGAGCCAGACCGGCCCCGCCCGCACGCGCGCGCGCCCGCUACCGCUGACGCAUGGGACCCAUGCGUCAGGGCCUUCUACCUCGUUUGGAAAGUGCCUGUGAACGCCGCCGCCUUCCUUCUUCACCGCCACGUGCCAUCUUCGCCGACAACUCCACAUCCCGUGCCUCCCGCGCCUCACCGCCCGCGUCCCUAUAAAGCCAGCGCGCCCCUCUCUCCUUCCCCUCUCUUGCUCGCUCGAAUGCUCGCGCCCACGCCGCCCAAUUCCUCGCCGGAGC
rnacentral:lncRNA from 1 species